rnacentral:rRNA from 1 species
UACAGAGGAGCCAAGCGUUGUUCGGAAUUACUGGGCGUAAAGGGCGCGCAGGCGGCUGCUCAAGUCAGGCGUGAAAGGCCUGGGCUCAACCCGGGAAUUGCGCUUGAGACUGGGCUGGCUUGAGUGCGGGAGAGGAUGGUGGAAUUCCCAGUGUAGAGGUGAAAUUCGUAGAUAUUGGGAAGAACACCGGUGGCGAAGGCGGCCAUCUGGACCGCAACUGACGCUGAGGCGCGAAAGCGUGGGGAGCAAACAGG